rnacentral:rRNA from 1 species
GAUGAACGCUGGCGGCGUGCCUAAUACAUGCAAGUCGAGCGAACAGACGAGGAGCUUGCUCCUCUGACGUUAGCGGCGGACGGGUGAGUAACACGUGGAUAACCUACCUAUAAGACUGGGAUAACUUCGGGAAACCGGAGCUAAUACCGGAUAAUAUAUUGAACCGCAUGGUUCAAUAGUGAAAGACGGUUUUGCUGUCACUUAUAGAUGGAUCCGCGCCGCAUUAGCUAGUUGGUAAGGUAACGGCUUACCAAGGCAACGAUGCGUAGCCGACCUGAGAGGGUGAUCGGGCAAAAUGGAACCUGGGACCCGUCCCGGCUCCCAACGGGAGGAACCGUAGGGAAUCUUCCGGAAUGGGCGAAAGCCCGAAGGGGGAACGGCGCGGGAGGGAUUAAGGUUUUCGGAUCGUAAAACUCUUUUAAUAGGGAAAAAAAAAUGUGUAAGUAACUAUGCACGUCUUGAAGGUAACUAAACAGAAAGGCACGGCUAAAUUCGUG